rnacentral:rRNA from 1 species
AAUGAACGCUGGCGGCGCGCCUAAUACAUGCAAGUCGAGCGAGAAGACGUAGCAAUACGUUUGUAAAGCGGCGAACGGGUGAGGAAUACAUGGGUAACCUACCCUCGAGUGGGGAAUAACGUAGCCGAAAGGUUAGCUAAUACCGCGUACGCUCCUUGGACUUCGGUUCAGGGAGGAAAGCGAUACCGUGGGUAUCGCGCUCUUGGUUGGGCUCAUGUCCUAUCAGCUUGUUGGUCGAGGUAACGGCUCACCAAGGCUUCGACGGGUAGCUGGUCUGAGAGGACGAUCAGCCACACU